rnacentral:rRNA from 1 species
CCUACGGGAGGCAGCAGUGAGGAAUUUUCCGCAAUGGGCGAGAGCCUGACGGAGCAAUACCGCGUGAGGGAUGAAGGAUUUUGGUCUGUAAACCUCUUUUCUCAAGAAAGAAGUUCUGACGGUACUUGAGGAAUAAGCAUCGGCUAACUCCGUGCCAGCAGCCGCGGUAAUACGGGGGAUGCAAGCGUUAUCCGGAAUGAUUGGGCGUAAAGCGCCUGUAGGUUGUUUAUUAAGUCCGUUGUUAAAGCCUAGGGCUCAACCCUAGAAAAGCAAUGGAAACUAGUAGACUAGAGUAUGGCAGGGGUAGAGGGAAUUUCUAGUGUAGCGGUGAAAUGCGUAGAUAUUAGAAAGAACACCGGUGGCGAAAGCGCUCUACUGGACCAUUACUGACACUCAGAGGCGAAAGCUAGGGUAGCAAAAGGGAUUAGAUACCCCUGUAGUCCUAGCCGUAAACGAUGGAUACUAGAUGUUGUGCAUUAUGUACAGUAUCGUAGCUAACGCGUUAAGUAUCCCGCCUGGGGAGUACGCUCGCAAGGGUGAAACUUAAAGGAAUUGACG